rnacentral:lncRNA from 1 species
GUCAGAAAGCACCAAACCGCCCCCAUAUACCCCCCCAGUAACCCCCCCGUGGGGACUCUCACCUGCCAGCCCUUCUCUGCCAGCUCCUGUGCUCCCUGGAAGACCUGGCGCACCGCUCUGGGGAUCAUCCCCCUUCUCUCGGGGUCCAACGCGUCCGGCCCCUCCAUGGUGUAGGUUUUCCCACUGCCCGUCUGCCCGUAGGCGAAGAUGCAGACGUGAUAACCAUCGAGUGCAGACUGCACCAGCAGUGAGAUCUCCUCAAACACCUCCUCCUGCGAGGCGCUGGGCCGGAAGACGCGAUCAAAGCUGAAGUCGUAUUUGAGGUCCUCUUUGCGCUCACGGCCGAUGUGGGACUCCUCCUCCCGGAGCAGCACCAGCGUCUUGUUGUCCUGCGGGGGGAAGUGGAGGUGCUCCAUGCCCUUCUGUUUCUCCUUCUCAGCAGCCAGCAGCGGCCUCACACGGCAAAACACACGGAUGUUCCCCUUGAGCUCCUGCACCAGGUUGUGCAGGCGGCGGCGCUCCAUCUCCAGCAUGUGCUGCAGCUCCUCCUGCUCCCGCAGCCGCCUGGCCUGCGACUCGGCCCUCAGCCGCAGCUCCGCCACCUCCGAGUCGCUCUGAGCCAACACAGCCUUGGUCUGGUGGAGCUGAGCCUCGGCAGCCUCCAGCCGUGCUGACAGCUCCCUGUCUGCCUCCCGCAGCUCCUCCAACUGCUGGCCCCGCAGCUCCGAUUCCUGGCGGUGCUUCUCCAGCUCUGUGCUCAACGUGCUCACACGUCCAUCCAGCUCCUCCACACGCCUCUCCCGUUCCCGUAGCGCCUCCUGCAGCUCCCGCAGCUGCUCCCGGAGCUGUCGGUUCUCCCCAUCCAACCUUUGUGCUUUCUCCUUUUGGUUCCCCAAGGCGGCCCGGAGGUCGCUCAGUUGUCCCUUCAGAUCCCACGCCGCUCGACGACGAUGGGCGCCGCCGACCGGAGCCGCUGCAGGGACCGGGGCUGCCCCGCAGUUCCCUUUCCCGGUCCUCGGGGCGGCGGUCACCGUCAGCGCUUUACGCGGAGGCCCUGGCUCCGGGGCAGCCGGAACGCUCAGUGCCCGCAGCGGGGCUCGGCCGGGGGGCUGUGAUGAGGCGGCGCCGGAGCGGGCCCGUUUCU